UGAGGGUAAGCAAGCAAUGAAAGGUUAUGAACCCCGCCAGGUCCGGAAGGAAGCAACGGUAGUAAUUAUUUCAUGUGUUUGAUUUUAUUCUCAGUG
rnacentral:SRP_RNA from 1 species